AUGCUAGCUGCGGCCAAGGUGGGAGAUAGAGAAGAAGAACUGCUACGAGGUGAAAUAAAACGGAAAACGUAAUAUAUCAAAGGCUACGAAUGAUUCGGAGAACUUUGAAAUGACAUCGAUACGAAGAAUACCGAAAUGAUAAGAAAUUCAUCCAAAUGCGUUAGCAAGGUAAUGAUAGUGCAAUGAAAGACACGAUUUGAGAAACGGUGCAAGUUCACUAGCCGUUUUCUAAAUUUAUGUGCCAAUCGACGGACAUUUCCGAGAUUAUUUUCGAUCGCGACUCGUAUUUCGAAACUGUUUCCCAAAUCGUCGAUCGGAAACGGAAGAAUGUUUAAAGAAUAACCGUGACUUUCUACCGGCGCUACAUGGUGUAUUUCACGAUCAUUGGUGAUUACUGUUUCGCGCGAAGGAGGGAAUGAUUCACAGUACACGAUUUCGUGGUUAAGGCGGCCGUAACUAAUGACUCACAUUAAUUACUGAAUGUUUUUCAACGAUAAUACAAUGGCAAAUAUUUCGCGAGGAAUUAAGCAUAUUAUUUUGCUGGAAGUAAUCGAACGAACGUGACCGGGUCUUAUUGUUAUAUAAAUAUUUCUAAUUUUAUGUAUGCAUCAUUUUUUGUUUAGAGAUAGCGCAGUACUACUACGUUACUACGUAUGAAGUGACCGAUUCCGUAAAUGCGUAAAAUCAUUCAGGAUUUAAUAAUCGAAAGUAGCGUUAAAUAACUUCUUAAAAUUUUGUUGCCACUGCAACGAGACACGGUUACUAUGCUGUCAAAUAUUUAUCACAAGUAAACACUGAAUAAAAAUUCUUCUACCAUAUGAAUGAAAUUUUACUAAUAUAAUCGUAAUAGUCGCGUCUCAUCGCAGUGCUAACGAAAUUUCAAAAUGCUUUGUAUAAUACACACACGAUGUAUCCAUAAAAUGUUUCUAUGAUAAGUAUCGAAAUUUUUUCAUGAGUCGUAAAAGUUAUUCUCGAAGCUAGUCACAGUGUUAGAAGAGAAAUCACAAAUAUGAAAUACUUAAAAAAAAAAAAGAGAAAGAAAAA